AUUGAACGCUGGCGGCAGGCCUAACACAUGCAAGUCGAACGAGUGGCGGACGGGUGAGUAAUGUCUGGUAAACUGCCUGAUGGAGGGGGAUAACUACUGGAAACGGUAGCUAAUACCGCAUACCAUCGGAUGUGCCCAGAUGGGCUUAGCUUGUAGGUGAGGUAACGGCGCAACUAGGCGACGAUCCCUAGCUGGUCUGAGAGGAUGACCAGCAACACUGGAACUGAGACACGUGCCAGACUCCUACGGGAGGCAGCAGGGGGGAAUAUGGAACAAUGGGCGCAAGCCUGAUGCAGUCAGGCAGCGUGUAUGAAGAAGGCCUUCGGGUUGUAAAGUACUUGCAGCGGGGAGGCGUUACCCGCAGAAGAAGCACCGGCUAACUCCGUGCCAGCAGCCGCGGUAAUUC
rnacentral:rRNA from 1 species